UCCCUGAUGGUCCAGUGGUUAGGACUUCACACUUCUAUUGCUGAGGGACCAGGGUCAAUCCCUGGUCUGGGAA
rnacentral:tRNA from 1 species